rnacentral:rRNA from 1 species
GAUGAACGCUGGCGGCGUGCUUAACACAUGCAAGUCGAACGAAGCUGUUAGAAGGAAGUCUUCAGAUGGAAUUUUAACAGACUUAGUGGCGGACGGGUGAGUAACGCGUGGAUAACCUGCCUUAUACAGGGGGAUAACGGAGAGAAAUUUCCGCUAAGACCGCAUAAGACCACAGCACCGCAUGGUGCAGGGGUAAAAUAUUAAUAGGUAUAAGAUGGAUCCGCGUCCGAUUAGCUAGUUGGUGAGGUAGAGGCUCACCAAGGCGACGAUCGGUAGCCGGCCUGAGAGGGUGAACGGCCACAUUGGGACUGAGACACGGCCCAAACUCCUACGGGAGGCAGCAGUGGGGAAUAUUGGACAAUGGGGGAAACCCUGAUCCAGCGACGCCGCGUGAGUGAAGAAGUAUUUCGGUAUGUAAAGCUCUAUCAGCAGGGAAGAAAANGACG